rnacentral:tRNA from 1 species
CCUGGUGGCUUAAAUGGUAAAGAAUCUGUCUGCAAUGCAGGAGACUCAGGUUCGAUACCUGGGUCAGGA